GCCGGGUGUGGUGGUAUGCGCCUGUAGUCCCAGCUACUUGGGAGGCUGAGGCAGGAAGAUUGCUUGAACCCAGGAAUUUGAGGCUGUAGUGCACUAUGAUUGCAUGCUUGUGAAUAGCCACUGCUCUCCAGCCUGAGCAACAUAGCAAGACUUUGUCUCUU
rnacentral:SRP_RNA from 1 species